AGUGAACGCUGGCGGUAGGCCUAACACAUGCAAGUCGAACGGCAGCACAGUAAGAGCUUGCUCUUACGGGUGGCGAGUGGCGGACGGGUGAGGAAUACAUCGGAAUCUACUUUUUCGUGGGGGAUAACGUAGGGAAACUUACGCUAAUACCGCAUACGACCUACGGGUGAAAGCAGGGGAUCUUCGGACCUUGCGCGAUUGAAUGAGCCGAUGUCGGAUUAGCUAGUUGGCGGGGUAAAGGCCCACCAAGGCGACGAUCCGUAGCUGGUCUGAGAGGAUGAUCAACCACACUGGAACUGAGACACGGUCCAGACUCCUACGGGAGGCAGCAGUGGGGAAUAUUGGACAAUGGGCGCAAGCCUGAUCCAGCCAUACCGCGUGGGUGAAGAAGGCUUUCGGGUUGUAAAGCCCUUUUGUUGGGAAAGAAAAGCAGCAGGUUAAUACCCCGCUGUUCUGACGGUACCCAAAGAAUAAGCACCGGCUAACUUCGUG
rnacentral:rRNA from 1 species